GGUGAGAAAAACAUUAUAUAUGCCGGUUUUUACUAUUCCGGCACUAUAACCUAUAGCGCCGUAUCCUUUAUUUGUUUUUUAGUAGUGUUUCUCUCUUAUUCUCUCUCUAUUUUUAAGCUAUGCUAUGUGGUAGAUUGAGAGUGUUUUAAAAACAUCGCACGUCAGCUUAACUGGGUAUUUUAUAUUGAUAAUAUUUUUUGAACAAAGAAUCCUAUAUAUCUAUACAAUUGAUCCCCACUAAGUAUCAAUGAUGCUAUUUUCCAGCCCUAUGGUGAAGCCACGUCACUUCAAUUAAUUUUAGCCAUCAGAUUAGAUUUGUCUGUCCGAGAUUUCUUCUUUCUCCACCAUGCACAACCUAUAUGGCCUUUUCUGUAUCCCAAUGAACAUUGCUGCGAGUAGGACAGCCCAGCAAUUUCCCACCAGGCCAUUUAUUCCUCAGUUUCUCUCCCCUACCAACCGAGGAAGCCGAGGAGCUUCGCGUUAGGCCAGUCACAAUGGGUGUUUCAUUUGAGUGUCAUGCGCAUUUAAUACAGUGACAAGUCAGCAAAAGAGCAAUAUUUGCAUGAAAUGGGUAGGAGAGAGAGUAAACUCGUUUCACCAUGGUGACACGAGAUAGCGCCGUUUCCCAGGUCACUGAAACGGGGUGAAACAGCAUUGAGAGUUCAUCGUUUCACCUCCGGGAUCCCGUGCGAGCGCUGCUCUUCGCCAUCUUCGCGCGCAUCGCCGGAUUCUUCCCGCGCGAGUCCCCCAUCUUCCCGCGCAGCACCUCCAUGUUCCCGCCCCCAAAGCACUGGCUCGAAGCUUUUUUCCCCAAUCUCACCUGCAACCCUAGCGCCAGACUCAGUCCCCAUCGCCCCGUCCGUCCCAUACCCUAGCGCAAGAACCACGAGCGGAGAUUGCGGAGCUGGAUCCACAAGUAGGUGGUGAAUCCUGUCCAUCUGCCGCCGUCCGCCGUCCAGCAGCCAUGGAUCCACAAGGAGGUGGUGGAUCCCGUCUGAGCGCCGCCGGCAGAGGAGGGAAUAAGCGUGGGGGCAAGCAGCUGGGCCUGAAGAGGUCGUCGGCGCCUGCUCCAUCACCGGCAACAGCUCAGCCACCGCUGCCUGCAAGUUCCCCUCCUGAAGCUCCAUCGCCGGCAACAGUUCAGCCGCCUACUCCAUCGUCAAGUCCUGCUGUUGCUGCCCCCAGUUCAUCCCCUGCUGUACCGAUGUCAACCAUGCCCCCAUGGCCACCGCAAGGAGCAGGAUGGGGCUCUGUACCCCCCAAUUUUGCUUUUCUGCAAGGAAACCAACAAGGCCCAAGUUCAUGGUUGUAUCCUACAGAAGGCUUCGUAAAUUUUCUCCAACAGAACUGUCUGCCGCAGCCACAAGAAGGUGAAAAUUUUCACCUUGUUGGUCAGACUACCAACACAAUGUCUACUCCACCACCAACACCCCAAGCUGCAGCUAACAAUACAGUCCAAAUUGAUAUUCAUGAAGAUGCAAUCAAUGAUGCAAGUGCUAAAAAGAGAAGUUUGAGAUAUUGGACUCAUGAUGAGGAAGAGAGAUUGGCUAGUGCUUGGUUGAAUGCUUCUAAAGAUCCCAUUCAUGGGAAUGAAAAGAAAGGUGAUACGUUUUGGAAAGAGGUUACUGAUGAGUUCAACAGAAAAGGGAAUGGGAAGCGUACAAGGGAAAUAAAUCAAUUGAAGGUUCAUUGGUCACGCCUCAAAUCAUCGAUUGGAGAAUUCAAUGAUUACUGGACUAAGGUAACUCAAAUGAAUACAAGCGGAUAUGACGAUGACAUGCUGGAGAAGGAGGCACAACAGAUGUAUGCAAAUACAUUUGGAAAGCCUUUUGCACUUGUGCAUUGGUGGAAGAUACUGAGAAAAGAGCCCAAGUGGUGUGCAAUGAUUGAGAAGGACAAAAACAAGGCUGAAGUGGUUGAUAUUCCAGAUGAACAAAAGCGUCCCAUUGGUAGAGAAGCAGCACAAGCCGAGCGCAAUGGAAAACGCAAGAAGGACAGUAUGUCAGAAGGAAUUGUCAUCCUAGGGGACAAUAUUGAAAAAAUUAUCAAAGUGACGCAAGAUCGGAAGCUGGAGCGUGAGAAGGUCACUGAAGCACAGAUUCACAUUUCAAACGUAAAUUUGAAGGCAGCAGAACAGCAAAAAGAAGCAAAGAUGUUUGAGGUAUACAAUUCCCUGCUCACUCAAGAUACAAGUAACAUGUCUGAAGAACAGAAGGCUCGCCGAGACAAGGCAUUACAAAAGCUGGAGGAAAAGUUAUUUGCUGACUAAGGUUCCAAUCUAUUUACAGGUUCCCUAAAAAAAAAUCUAUUUGCAGGUUCCAGUCUGUUGUCUUCACAAUGGUGAAAGAAUCAAUGAAAUCUAUGGGUGCAUCGUCAAUUUGCCUCCAGUUACCUGCUUGUCAUCGUCAUUUGUAGCUUAGUUCUGUCAUAUUUCACCUCGAGUUAACAUCUAUUCAGUUAUCUAAACUUUGCUAUGUAGUGAACUUGGUUGAAUGGUCAUUUAAAUUUAUCAAGUGAACAAUCGUACCUAUCUGUGCUGAAUGCAUGUAUUUUGUUUUGUGUUCAAGUGGCUACACACGUUUGUGUUACAUACGAUCCCACUAUGUGGCUGGAAUUAAAUGCCUUGAAUUUGCAUUGGAAACGCUAGAGUGAAACACAGCAUUGAGAA